AAAUAUUGAUGAGGGUUUGUUUAUGGGCCAGACUAUUCUAGAGCAAUUGGAAGGCCUUCCUAGGCAUAAAAUAAAUGCCAGACACAUGAACUCUGUUACUGAGAAGGGAAAAAAUAAUGGUAAUUCAUAUGAUUCUUCACAUUUACCUAAUAAUACGAUGGAGCUUUUCUCUGAGCCUGGGCAUGCUAGUGUUAUUGGUCAUAUUCGUAAGCUUUCAAAUGCGCGUGCUGGAAGUGAUGGAAGCUCCAUACGAGGUAGUGGCAUGACUAAUUUUGGGAUUCCAAAUUCAUCUGGUGAUAGCUCUCUUGAUCUUCCUGGAUAUGCUUCAGUUUCAAGAGAAACAGAUAUAAUGGACCCCACAAAGUUGAAGUCUACUGGUGAUGCUCAGUUAGUCCUUCCACAAGAUCAACGCAAUAAAUUAAACAGGGUUCUUUCAACCAUGCAGAGAAGGCUAGUCACUGCAAAAACUGAUAUGGAGGACCUUAUAGUUAGAUUAAAUCAAGAAAUGGCUGCAAAGGAUUUUCUUGCUACGAAGGUAUAUGAUUUGGCAUGUAUUUCCUCGUAAGCUAAUUUAUUUUAUUUUUAGUUUACUUGUUGAAUCUGAAAAUUGUCUGCCAACUAAGUCUAGGAUAAAUAUAUCUAUAAGCUGUGGAAUAUUAUGGAUUCCUUACGGUUCCAUGACCACAGAAUGCAUUUAAGCUCAUUUUUAUAGAUAUGAAUUAUGUUCCCAGAACUGAUUGGGUCUAUUCAGGUCAAGGAUUUGGAAGUUGAACUUGAAACUAGCAAACAGAAAAAUAAGGAAAACUUGCAGCAGGCUAUUCUGAUUGAGAGGGAAAGGUUUACCCAAAUGCAGUGGGAUAUGGAGGAACUUCGACGAAAAUCAUUGGAAAUGGAGAUGAAACUAAAGUCUGAAUCGGUAUAACAUUCUUGCAUAUCAAACUUUUUUCCUUGGAGGAUUUGUUGAUUUCAAUAAUGACUUGUGAUAUGAUACCAGGUUGGAAAUUCUAGUCAAGAUGAUGUGCUGAUGCAGAAUUUAGAUGCUGCUAAGAAGCAGCUGGAGAGUUUGUCAAAACAGUAUGGAGAACACCUUCCACAAAAUUCUUUAAAGAUUUUAAGAAAUUUAAUUUUGCUACAGAGAAGGCGCUCUUUGGAGGAAUGGAUCACCAAACUAUUGUCUGACAUUGAUAUAUCAAGAUGUGCUGCAGUGGCAUCAUUUUUUGAGCUAGAAGCUGCUGCAAGAUCUUGUAUGUGAUUUUUUUGCAGCUUGCAUUUAGUUGCUCCAUACAUGUCAGUUUGUUUUAUGGUGAUUGAUUCUUAGCUGUCCUAAAUUUUGAUCAUCUAUUUCUCAUUUAUCACUUCUCAGCAUUCCAAGAUGCAAGCCAGCAGAAUUCAGAAACAGAACCUGAUGCCAAUAACAGAGCUUAUUCAAUGCAAUCACCUCUCCAUUCGAGCUUAUCAUUAGCUGCUGGCAGUUCAUCUGUUGCCUCAGAUUGUUGCAGUGAUACCGCAUAUGAGCCAUCUGAAACAGGAACUUCGAGAAUUGGACAGGACGAUAAUUCCGAAGUCGGUACAGAUGAUCUAACAAUGGAUGAAGAUAUGGUGAAUCCAAUAGAAAAGCUUGUGAAAUAUGGCAUAUCAAAUAUUGAUGAGGGUUUGUUUAUGGGCCAGACUAUUCUAGAGCAAUUGGAAGGCCUUCCUAGGCAUAAAAUAAAUGCCAGACACAUGAACUCUGUUACUGAGAAGGGAAAAAAUAAUGGUAAUUCAUAUGAUUCUUCACAUUUACCUAAUAAUACGAUGGAGCUUUUCUCUGAGCCUGGGCAUGCUAGUGUUAUUGGUCAUAUUCGUAAGCUUUCAAAUGAGAGUGCUGGAAGUGAUGGAAGCUCCAUACGAGGUAGUGGCAUGACUAAUUUUGGGAUUCCAAAUUCAUCUGGU
rnacentral:lncRNA from 1 species